rnacentral:rRNA from 1 species
GACGAACGCUGGCGGCGCGCCUAAUACAUGCAAGUAGAACGCACAGUUUAUACCGUAGCUUGCUACACCAUAGACUGUGAGUUGCGAACGGGUGAGUAACGCGUAGGUAACCUGCCUGGUAGCGGGGGAUAACUAUUGGAAACGAUAGCUAAUACCGCAUAAUAUUAAUUAUUGCAUGAUAAUUGAUUGAAAGAUGCAACUGCAUCACUACCAGAUGGACCUGCGUUGUAUUAGCUAGUAGGUGAGGUAACGGCUCACCUAGGCGACGAUACAUAGCCGACCUGAGAGGGUGAUCGGCCACACUGGGACUGAGACACGGCCCAGACUCCUACGGGAGGCAGCAGUAGGGAAUCUUCGGCAAUGGACGAAAGUCUGACCGAGCAACGCCGCGUGAGGGAAGAAGGUUUUCGGAUCGUAAAGCUCUGUUGUAAGAGAAGAACGGGUGUGAGAGUGGAAAGUUCACACUGUGACGGUAUCUUACCAGAAAGGGACGGCUAACUACGUG